rfam:Ictidomys tridecemlineatus contig057405, whole genome shotgun sequence.
GGGGCUGUAGCUCAGUGACAGAGCGCUUGCCUAGCAUGCAAAAGGAACUGGGUUCAAUCCUCAGCACCA